UACGUAGGGUGCAAGCGUUGCCCGGAUUUAUUGGGCGUAAAGGGCGCGUAGGCGGCUCUGCACGUUCGUUGUGAAAUCGCCCGGCUCAACUGGGCGGGGUCAGCGGAUACGGCAGAGCUUGAGCAAGCUAGGGGGCAAUGGAAUUCCCGGUGUAGUGGUGGAAUGCGUAGAUAUCGGGAGGAACACCAGUGGCGAAGGCGGUCUGCUGGGCAGUUGCUGACACUGAGGCUCGAAGGCUAGGGGUAGCGAAAGGG
rnacentral:rRNA from 1 species